rfam:Aedes albopictus isolate Foshan contig166887, whole genome shotgun sequence.
GACACGGUAGCUUAGUUGGAAAAGCACUUGUCUAACGAAUAAGGGUCGUGAGUUCAAAUCUCACCUGAGCUG